AUGGGUCCCAACUGUGAAACAUCACCCAACACAACUCAGGCAAGCUCAAGUUGGUGCCAGCCACAAGAGCAAAGCAACACUGCAAACAUCAGACUUCUGGUGAUGUUCUAGCAGAACAGAGAGCUAACAACCACCUGCUGCCCUCCUGCCACCAUCACAAGGUACCACGGAUAGCCUACUGGCAAACAACACCUACAAAUAACCAUCUGACUCAGACCAACUCACUUCAGGAUGACAGGAGACACUGCUUCAACACCUGCUGCACAAGCUUGAGGGCCCACACCUUGCUACAGCUUACAUCACCACAGCUCACCACUUGACAGCAUCCACCACGGCACCACAAACACUCCUGGAGGCAACCAGCAGCCCGAGAGCCACCACUGUCUCCCAGCCAUGAGCGGCAGGAGGUUCAAUUUGAAUCACUCUGUGACAUAUUCUGAUGUAACUGAUGAUGCCCUUGAUGACAUGAUCAAAGAUAUUGAGGCUGGGAAUGAUCAGCUUGGAUCUGAGGCUGUCAGGGCCACAGUUACAGCCAGCUGGAGUACGGGUGCAGAGAGACAGAGUGAGAAAGAGUUUAAUUCGAACCAACCCCUGGGCAGCUGCACAAAGAAGACCACAGAGGUGAUUGUAUAAAGUUGCUUGACCAAACUCUAUUUGGCACCGUGAUUGUAACCACAAUUUGAUAAGAUGCAGAAUUGUCAUUCAUGGUGGUAUAGAUGGCUACAGUCGUCUCAAAGUCUUUCUCCGUGCCUCAAACAACAUCUGCAGCAGCACUGUAAUGAAUUGCUUUUUAGAAUGCUGUGGCCAGGUAUGGAGUGCCUUCUAAGGUCAGAACAGAUCAUGGAGGAGAAAACUGAUGUCUGUGUGAUGAUGAAAAUGUUCAGGGGCUCAGAGAGAGGCAGUGCUAUCAGAGGCAGGAGCACUCAUAACUAGCGUAUUGAGAGGCUCUGGGGUGACAUGUGGCAGGGAUUGUCUAAUGUUUAUUAUAAUCCCGUCCACUUCCUGGAGAGUGAAGUGAUAGUGGACAUAGACAAUGAAAUGCAUCUCUGGGCUCUACAUUACGUCUACUUGCCAAGGAUCAGCAGGGACUUGACUGCCUUCAUCCGACAAUGGAACAACCAUGGGCUGAGAACUGAGAGACAUCAGAUCCCAAUGCAGACUCUUGUCCGAAGCUGCCUGGAACAACAAGGACAAAGAUCCACAGCAAUGCAAGAAAUCUUUGGCAGAAGAGCUGGGCCAGCAGAUUAAACUGUUGUUCAAGGACCAUUUGAACAAGGAGAAACAACAUCAAGAAUGCAGGGGGCAGCAAUGCUUGACUGGCCAGACAGAGUACAAGUACGAAAGAAUCACAACACUUUGGACAAUGCAACCUUGGAGCAUCUUGUUGCACAAUUUAAUCCACUUGGUGGGGCACAAGCAGAAUUUGGAUUAGACAUCCUUUGCAAUGUUUUAUCUUUAAAUCAAUCAUAGGAAAGGACAAGUUAAUCCCAAAAUAGAUCUUAUGGAUGCAUGUUAUGGUUGACUUUCAUUAAAUGGACAAAACAUAGAGCUAACCUUUCAAGUUUGUUUAGAGCAGUGGUUGCCAACCCGGCGAUCGCAAUCGACUUUAUCUUUAUCACUCUCCCAGUAGCUCAAGAAAAUAACAGAAAAAUUAGUACAAUAAAGACAUCGUGAUUAAUGGUAAGCUUUGCAUCUCUCUUUAUUUUACUUGAUCCAACUGCUGUGUUAAUUUUCAUUAACAAGACCAAUGAGACACAUCAGUAAUUUAACUGUCACAAAUUCGCAAACGUCGAUAUAGUGACGACAGCCCACGAGCCCUCAAAGUUUAACAGCUGUGUUCAGAAUGUCGGAGGCUCCACAAAAGAAAGCAAAAACAUACAACUUCAACCAAGAAUGGGAAGAGGAAUUUCUUUUUACCAUGGUGAAAGAUAAGUGUGUUUGUAUAUUGUGUCACCAAAAACAAGCACUAUGUAAAAGAGGAAACCACCACACCACACCACAGCACCACAACAUGACUCACCAGAAAUCUAAAGACAGCUACCCGCCAAAGAGCCUGAUCCGUGCUAAGAAAGUCUGUGUUGAAGGCCCUGCAAUCAAUUUUUACAAAAUCUGCUGAUCAUAAGCAGGCUGUUACUGAAGCAUCAUUUCGUGAAAGCCACUUUUUGGCUAAAAACAAAAAGCCUUUUACAGAUUACGAAUUAUUUAAGGAAGCAAUGGCCAUUACUGCCGAGACUAUUUUCAAGGACUUCAAAAACAAAGAUGAGAUUAAAAAAUGCACUCCGUGGUGUACCGCUCUGUCCUGCAUCAGUGACAAGGAGGGUCGAGUCACUGUCAGAGGACGUGCAUCGACAAGUUUUAAAGGACUUGUCAAUCUGUAAAUAUUUUUCACUACAGUUCGAUGAAUCGCUGGAUGUAAAGGACACAGCUCAGCUUGUGGUUUUUUGUCAGAAAGGCUUUCCAGGAUGCUACAACAAAAGAGGACUUUCUUAAUCUUUUGCACUUAAAGGAGAGAAUGAGAGGUGAGGAUAUUUACAAAUGAGAUUAAAAAAUAUGUGAAAAUGAAAACGAUAUCCCCAUUCACACACUGGUAGCAAUUACUGCUGAUGGAGCGCCCGCAAUGCUUGUUGUGCGCUCUGGUUUUAUAGCUCUGUGCUGUUAUGAUCCUGAUUCUUCCAACUUCAUGAACUAUCAUUGUGUGAUUCACCAGCAGGCCCUGGCUUGGAAAGUUAUGGACUUUUCUCACACAAUAACACUGGUCAUCAAACUGAUAAACUCGACACGAGCAAAAGUGUUACAACGCUUUGUUGACUUGCUCACUGGCAUCAAGACUUCUGUGUGCAAGAAACGAGAAACUCAAGGAACUGUCAGAUGAUGUGUGGCUGCUGUACCUGGGGCUUCUUACAGACUUGACCUCGAAAUUGAAUACACCCAAUAAUGAGCUCCAGGGAAAAGGCCCCACACGAUGAGCGCAGUGAAUGCAUUUAAUUCCAAGCUCGGUGUUUGGAUCACACAUCUGAAGAAUGCAAAGCUAACACACUUUCCCAACCUGGAAAAAAUAUCACAUAUCAUUGAAAACAAGUAUGUUUUCCUCCCUGAGAAUUACUGUGCUCACCUGGACAAAGUGGCAAAAGAGUUCAAUUGGCAUUUUGGAGAGUUAGACGUCAUGGGAUGUAUUGCUGAGUUUGUCUCAAACCCAUUCAUGCCCAUUGAUGUAGAACAGGUUGCAGCCAAAUUCCAGGAGGUAUUUGCUUAGUCAAGUGGAGUAGACAUGGAGAUAAUUGACUUGUAAAAUGACAGAGCUGAAAGCCAGAUCAAGGGACAGUGACUUUUGGGGACUUGUCAACAGACAGAAGUUUCCUCUCCUAACCGCAUGUGCACUGAAAGUGAAUGCUUACUUUGGGUCCACUAACCUCUGUGAAAUGCCAUUUUCACAAAUGAAAAUAGUCAAAUUAAAGUACAGGAGCCACCUUACUGACAGACAUCUCACAGACUGACUGUGUCUAGCUACAAGCCAAACUACAGAGAACUCACGGACAGUAUUCAAUCACAGCCAUCACACUGACUUGAGUGAGUAACAGAGUAAGCAGCAGUUUGCCUUUUGAUAACAUUGUGAAUUGAUGCAGCAAAAUAUGGGACAUAACCGCAGUUAGCUGAAUUAUGUUACUAAUGUUUGUUUAUUGUGUUUAUUAUUACGAUUGUUUGUUGAAUUUUACAAAAUGAACAGUUCAUUUAGAAAAUGUUAGUACCUGCAGAAGUAUCAUUGAAAAUAAUUUUACUGUUACUAGUGCCCCUUUUUCUGUUAACAAUGGCACUUCAAAUGAUCUGCUGUGUUACAGUGGUGCACUGUCAAAGUUUUUCUUGGUUGCAUAAAUUUAAAAGUUAUAAAGCAGGUUAAACCAGAACAUUUCACAUAGUUCAAACAUGCUAAAUUA